AGUUUUUAACACAAGAUAUACCUAAACAAAUUUAAAGUGAAAAAAUCCCUUAGAGGAUAUAAAAUAUGGAAUGGAGUGCUUGUUUCUAUACCUAAUACAUUGUAAUGCCAUAUGCAUGGAUAGGGGUCGCUGCCUUAUUCGUUUUUCAGUGCGAGUCCGGUUCCGCAGCUGUAAAUAAAUAAGCUUGUUGAUAACAGCCAUCAAAUGAAAAUAAAAUGGAGGCAUGCACUCAUCGAAAAACUUAAAGAAACUAGAGCCCUCUAAAAAAGCUUCACGGAACUAACAGCACAAGCACUCCAUAUGUAUAUUAUAUCCUCUAAGAAAAAUCCUGCUUUUGGAAUCAGAAAAAAUGCACAGGACAAUGAAAAAAUUGAAUUGUGUAAAAGUUCUGGCAAUGCUGAUAUAGAUAUUGCACAUCCGUUGAAUGCAAGAUGAAACUCUUUAAAAGUGAAUUUUGCGUUUCCCAUUUUAUGUGAUGUCGGGUGAUGUCAUUGGCUGAUGGAACGAUGAUGUGAGGAUCUCUUUGUAAAAAGUUUGCAAAAGGCAAUUUGUGUGAGGGAAAAAGGUGAAAGGUCAUUAAAUUAUCUCUGGCCUCUCGCGAAGAUUAACAAAGUGUCGUCAAUGCGUCAACUGGCAAGUGUUCGUUACAUUUCUGAUUCAUUGGUAUAAGGAAUAUAGCAACUUGCAACAUGUAUUGAUGCACGAACGAAACCUAUAUAAAUAUAUAUUCAUAUACUUGUUGAUAGCCAGUUAAACAUCCAUGCACCCUUGCAAUAGCAAUACGUUACCAAAAUAGACUGAUGAAGCGACUUCAGUGAAUGUGAUAAAUGUUUGUGUUGACACUAUCGAUUGGGAACGAAAUUGCUUCAAGAGAGUUUCAGAGGACACACAUGGACGGAUCAUCAUGAUGAAACUCGGGUGUGUGUUGAGUGUGCAGCUGCGAAAAAAUUCGAUUUAAAAAAGUGACAAACUAUUGGUAGUUUUUAUUAGCAAGGAGAUGAACACAAAAAAAUUUAUAUCAUUCAGCCAGGAAAAUGGGGAUUUUUUUAAGCCCCGGGUUGUGUUUGUUGUCCUUGUCAAUGUGGUCACGCAGACGAAUGGCUUCGGUUUGUCUGCAUUGCUUUUGAAGUCCAGUAUAUUUUUUUUGUUUAUACCAAAUUUUAUACAUACAGCAUUUCCAUGGAUUUUUAGCUAUAGAUUGUAUGAAAA